UAGCUCAGUCGGUUGAGCGCGGUGCUGAUAACACUGAGGCCACGGGUUUGAUUCCUGCU
rnacentral:tRNA from 1 species